GAUGAACGCUGGCGGCGUGCCUAACACAUGCAAGUCGAACGGGGUUAAGUGAAAUUUUCGGAUGGAACUUAACUUAGUGGCGGACGGGUGAGUAACGCGUGGAUAACCUGCCUCACACUGGGGGAUAGCAGCUGGAAACGGCUGGUAAUACCGCAUAAGACCACAGCACCGCAUGGUGCAGGGGUAAAAGAUUUAUCGGUGUGAGAUGGAUCCGCGUCUGAUUAGCCAGUUGGCGGGGUAACGGCCCACCAAAGCGACGAUCAGUAGCCGGCCUGAGAGGGUGAACGGCCACAUUGGGACUGAGACACGGCCCAAACUCCUACGGGAGGCAGCAGUGGGGAAUAUUGCACAAUGGGCGCAAGCCUGAUGCAGCAACGCCGCGUGAGUGAAGAAGUAUUUCGGUAUGUAAAGCUCUAUCGGCAGGGAAGAAAGGCCCGAAAGGGAGAUGACGGUACCUGACUAAGAAGCCCCGGCUAACUACGUGCCAGCAGCCGCGGU
rnacentral:rRNA from 1 species